rnacentral:rRNA from 1 species
GUGCCAGCAGCCGCGGUAAUACGUAGGGCGCAAGCGUUAUCCGGAAUUAUUGGGCGUAAAGAGCUCGUAGGCGGUUUGUCGCGUCUGCUGUGAAAACGCGGGGCUCAACUCCGCGCCUGCAGUGGGUACGGGCAGACUAGAGUGCGGUAGGGGAGAUUGGAAUUCCUGGUGUAGCGGUGGAAUGCGCAGAUGUCAGGAGGAACACCGAUGGCGAAGGCAGAUCUCUGGGCCGUGACUGACGCUGAGGAGCGAAAGGGUGGGGAGCAAACAGGCUUAGAUACCCUGGUAGUCCACCCCGUAAACGUUGGGAACUAGUUGUGGGGGCCUUUCCACGGUCUCCGUGACGCAGCUAACGCAUUAAGUUCCCCGCCUGGGGAGUACGGCCGCAAGGCUAAAACUCAAAGGAAUUGACGGGGACCCGCACAAGCGGCGGAGCAUGCGGAUUAAUUCGAUGCAACGCGAAGAACCUUACCAAGGCUUGACAUACACCGGAAACGUCCAGAGAUGGUCGCCCCUUUUUGGUCGGUGUACAGGUGGUGCAUGGUUGUCGUCAGCUCGUGUCGUGAGAUGUUGGAUUAAGUCCCGCAACGAGCGCAACCCUCGUUCUAUGUUGCCAGCACGUUAUGGUGGGAACUCAUGGGAUACUGCCGGGGUCAACUCGGAGGAAGGUGGGGAUGACGUCAAAUCAUCAUGCCCCUUAUGUCUUGGGCUUCACGCAUGCUACAAUGGCCGGUACAAUGGGCUGC